UACGUAGGGUGCGAGCGUUGUCCGGAAUUAUUGGGCGUAAAGAGCUUGUAGGCGGUUUGUCGCGUCUGCUGUGAAAAUCCGGGCUCAACCCCGGACUUGCAGUGGGUACGGGCAGACUAGAGUGUGGUAGGGGAGACUGGAAUUCCUGGUGUAGCGGUGAAAUGCGCAGAUAUCAGGAGGAACACCGAUGGCGAAGGCAGGUCUCUGGGCCACUACUGACGCUGAGAAGCGAAAGCAUGGGAGCGAACAGG
rnacentral:rRNA from 1 species